GACGAACGCUGGCGGCGUGCUUAACACAUGCAAGUCGAACGGUGAAGCGCCUUCCUUUUUGGUGGGUGUGGAUGAGUGGCGAACGGGUGAGUAACACGUGAGUAACCUGCCCCCUUCUUCUGGAUAACCGCAUGAAAGUGUGGCUAAUACGGGAUAUUCUGGGUCUGUCGCAUGAUGGGUCUGGGAAAGAUAUUGUUUCGGUGGGGGAUGGGCUCGCGGCCUAUCAGCUUGUUGGUGGGGUGAUGGCCUACCAAGGCGGUGACGGGUAGCCGGCCUGAGAGGGUGGACGGUCACACUGGGACGGAGACACGGCGCAGACUCCUACGGGAGGCAGCAGUGGGGAAUAUUGCACAGUGGGCGCAAGCCUGAUGCAGCGACGCCGCGUGAGGGAUGGAGGCCUGCGGGUUGUGAACCUCUUUCGCCAGUGAAGCAGGCCUGCCUCGUUUGUGGGUGGGUUGACGGUAGCUGGAGAAGAAGCGCCGGCUAACUACGUG
rnacentral:rRNA from 1 species